ensembl:lncRNA
CUGAACUCUGAGCUUUGAAGACCCCCAGAAACACUUUCUGGCAGGCUACAGAAACAUCAAGGAGAUUGGGUAGAAACAGGAGGGCCAGCUGAUGCUGAGAAAAAUUUGAGGCUCUCGUAUAUACAUAACAUGUGAAUCCACUACUGGGAUGGUUGCCUAGCAACAUUAUUCCCCUCCCCCUCAAGCCUUCUUGUGACAGCCUCACUUCUUUCCUAUUCUGAUAUUAGCUUAAUGUUUUUUUAUGAAUCAGAUGUACAAUAUUUUGGGAAUGGUGUAUAGCAUAAGAGAGUAGAGAGUAGCCUGAUUUACUAGUAUCAUUUGGAAAAUAUACAAUCCAGGCAGCUCUUUUAAAAAGUUAAUGGUCCAUUUUUGGCCAUGUUACAAAAGUAGAUGUUUAGAUUACAAGAAGAUUUUUUAAAAAGGAAAUACCUAAGGAUCCUGCCCUGCGAAGGCCCCAUUCUGCCGCUCUCGUAUUCAUAGCAGAUGUUUAGGUGGACGUUUCCGGUUGUGCAAGGACCCGGUGAUUUGCCUCAGGUGGACGUAAAAGCCAGUCCACCCCAGGUCCUUUCUCCUGACCAGAGAAGCGUAAAGCUGGAAGGUGCAGGAAAACAUCCAGUUGCUGAGCUGACUUCACUGAAGAAGCCCGGAGAGCUGAGCGCAUUUUCAGUCUCCCAAAUACCAGUCGCAGGUACCUGAACUUCCAGUUUCUCAAGAGACCAAGUUGUGGGAAACGGCCCAUCAGGAAGAAGAUUCUUGCCUCUGGCGAGAUUUGACCACAAGUUUAGGAACUCACUGCAUGAGAAUGCCGUGGAUCGUGUCUUAACCCCCUUCUGCUCAGUCUCACCAGUGAAAAAUGGAAGAUGCAUACUGGCAUAGAAAGAAGAUCACAAGCUUCGGAGCCAGAGAGACUUAGGUUCAAAUUCCAGCUCAACCCCAUUCCUCUCUGAGUGAUGGUAGAUAACUAUUCAAGGUUCUCAACAUUUAUUGAGCACCUCCUCACACGAGGCUCUGUGCUGUAUGCUGCGAACUUUAAGGUCCGUGAAAUAAUGCCUGCCCAUGAGAAGACUAAGUCUAGCCAGCGAUACGAACCUAAAAACACCAACUGUGGACCGGGAGUGUGCGUAUUCUCUAACGGAGGAGUGUGCACUCUGAUUGAGAGAACUAUUUUCCUUGGUGGAUGGGGCGUGGUUGUGGUCUCGGUGAGCAUGUCAGAGAAGAGGAGGAUGACCUGGAGUCAGGGAAGGGCAUUGUAAUUCAAAAGAACAGCAUGAGGAAAGGCACAGAGGCGUGAAGCGGUGAGAUGCUGAGUUAUCCAUGGAAGCUUGACACAACAGAAGGCCAUAUGAUACCUGGGUUGUGAGGAGCCCAAAAUAUGUCUUACAUGGGAAUCCCAGGUCAUCACAAACUACCAGAACAUCAGAAGGGGACCCCUAACAGUUUGCAAAGGAAAGCUGGGACAGCAGCUGUUAAGAUUCUGCAAAAGGGCCCAUGAAGCCCGAGGUGGACUUCGUUGGCCUUGCCUUCAUCAAAGAGAGGCUCGAGGAGUGCACAGCUGCCAGCUCUUGAGGACAGGCUGCUGUGAGCAGCAACACAGCUGAGCUCCCUUGGCUUCAUGGUGGGAGAUUCAUAAGAUGUGCCAAAUGAGGCACGGAGGGUUUCACUCACGUGCUUAAGUCUCACUGCUGGCACGUGGCGGAGCCAGGAUUCGGACUCAGUUCCAGAGCCCACAUUCUAUAUAUGUCUGCUUCCAAGUGAACACUGCUGUCCCUCCUAAUCAUGAGAUUUUAUGCUCAAGUAAUAAACUCUCCGUUGGACCAAUUCUUUCUGAGCAGGAAUGCUGUGUGCCUGAGCCCUGCACGUACAGAUCAGACCCCAGCCUCUCCCAUGCCUCCCU